rnacentral:rRNA from 1 species
UACGUAGGGGGCAAGCGUUGUCCGGAAUCAUUGGGCGUAAAGCGCGCGUAGGCGGCUCGAUCAGUCUGCUGUAAAAGUCAAAGGCUCAACCUUUGAAGUGCCGGUGGAUACUGUCGGGCUAGAGUCCGGAAGAGGCGAGUGGAAUUCCUGGGUGUAGCGGUGAAAUGCGCAGAUAUCAGGAGGAACACCAAUGGCGAAGGCAGCUCGCUGGGACGUGACUGACGCUGAGGCGCGAAAGCUAGGGGAGCAAACGGG